UCAGGCCAGGUGUGGUGGCUCACUCCUGUAAUCCCAGCAUAUUGGGAGGCCGAAACAGGUGGAACACCUUAGGUCAGAAGUCUGAGACCAGCCUAGACAAGAUAGUGAAACCCUGUCUCUAC